rnacentral:rRNA from 1 species
GACGAACGCUGGCGGCGUGCCUAAUACAUGCAAGUCGAACGCUUCUUUCCUCCCGAGUGCUUGCACUCAGUUGGAAAGAGGAGUGGCGGACGGGUGAGUAACACGUGGGUAACCUACCCAUCAGAGGGGGAUAACACUUGGAAACAGGUGCUAAUACCGCAUAACAGUUUAUGCCGCAUGGCAUAAGAGUGAAAGGCGCUUUCGGGUGUCGCUGAUGGAUGGACCCGCGGUGCAUUAGCUAGUUGGUGAGGUAACGGCUCACCAAGGCCACGAUGCAUAGCCGACCGGAGAGGGUGAUCGGCCACACUGGGACUGAGACACGGCCCAGACUCCUGCGGGAGGCAGCAGUAGGGAAUCUUCGGCAAUGGACGAAAGUCUGACCGAGCAACGCCGCGUGAGUGAAGAAGGUUUUCGGAUCGUAAAACUCUGUUGUUAGAGAAGAACAAGGACGUUAGUAACUGAACGUCCCCUGACGGUAUCUAACCAGAAAGCCACGGCUAACUACGUG